ensembl:snoRNA SNORD116 Small nucleolar RNA SNORD116
AGAUCAAUGAUGACAUCCUCACUUGCAUUCCUUGGAAAAUCUGAACAAAGUGAGUGAGAACUCACUACCGUCUCCUCAUUGAAACUGAGGUCC